GACAGAGGGUGCUAGCGUUGUUCGGAAUUACUGGGCGUAAAGGGCGCGUAGGCGGCCUUCUAAGUCGAACGUGAAAUCCCCGGGCUCAACCCGGGAACUGCGUCCGAUACUGGAAGGCUUGAAUCCGGGAGAGGGAUGCGGAAUUCCAGGUGUAGCGGUGAAAUGCGCAGAUAUCAGGAGGAACACCGAUGGCGAAGGCAAGUCUCUGGGCCGAUACUGACGCUGAGGAGCGAAAGCGUGGGGAGCGAACAGG
rnacentral:rRNA from 1 species